AUGUCCCACAAACGAAUCUACUACUCAGACAAAUACGACGACAAGGAGUUCGAGUACCGGCAUGUCAUGUUGCCCAAGGACAUAGCCAAGCUGUUCCCUAAAACCCAUUUGAUGUCUGAAUCUGAAUGGAGGAACCUCAGCGUUCAGCAGAGUCAGGGAUGGGUCCACUAUAUGAUCCAUGAACCAGAACCCCACAUCCUAUUGUUCAGGCGGCCACUGCCCAAGAAGCCAAAGACAUGA